AAAAACCUGACUUACUCUUGCUUCCCUCUAUAUUUUACUGUCUCCAGAAAUCCAAAGACACCACUAUGCCAGAAAUACUCCAGGUGGGUUAGGGUUUUAUUCAAGGAAAUGCUGCAGUAGAAAAUUGCCAUUUCUCUGUGCUGUGUUCAGGAAGCACUCCACUGAUGGCCAGUGAUAAACAGUGACAGGGAACGAGGGAAACAGUGCGGACACCAUCAACUCUGUCUUCUGCAGUGCGGUGGCAUUUCGGUGGCUAACCAUCCUACUGGUCUGGCACUUCCGCAUCUUAAGUGCUGGGGAGCCUGCAGCCAGAAACCCUGAGUGCCCAUCACGGAGUACAUUCCAGUCCUAGAUGAGAUUCUACCUUCGGAGAGUGUGCAGAACUGCAAGCACCUGAGGAAAAUGGGUCUGUGCCUAUUCUUGGAAAAAACUGACUCAAAAUUAAGGUACACUUGAUUACUCACUGUUAAGGAGGCGGAAGUCGAUGAAUGGGUAGGAGCCGCGGCGUUCAGCAGGAACCCCCGUCUGACCCCUCAGUCGUACAUCUCCUAGAAAACAAAAUCCAAGCAAAUGUUUGAAAACGUUGCCAAGUGUAUUCACUUUUCCUCUGUAAAUCCUCUUACCCACUUAUGUCACUGGAACCUACACCAAA